rnacentral:rRNA from 1 species
AACGGCCGUACCAUGCUGAAUAUACCGGUUCUCGUUUUAGAUCACCGAAGUUAAGCAUCAUUGGGCGCGGUCAGUACUUGGGUGGGUGACCACCUGGGAACACUGCGUGCCGUU